CCUGGGUCGUCUAACUGGUCAAGACAACGGACUUUGACUCCGUCAAUGGUGGUUCGACUCCACCCCCGGGCG
rnacentral:tRNA from 1 species